UGGGGAAUAUUGCACAAUGGAGGAAACUCUGAUGCAGCAACGCCGCGUGAAGGAUGAAGGUUUUCGGAUCGUAAACUUCUUUGAUGAGGGACGAAGGAUGACGGUACCUCAAAAACAAGCCACGGCUAACUACGUGCCAGCAGCCGCGGUAAUACGUAGGUGGCGAGCGUUGUCCGGAAUUACUGGGUGUAACGGGCGUGUAGGCGGGAAAGCAAGUCAGCUGUGAAAUACCGGGGCUUAACUCCGGGGCUGCAUCUGAAACUGUUUUUCUUGAGUGUCGGAGAGGAAAGCGGAAUUCCUAGUGUAGCGGUGAAAUGCGUAGAUAUUAGGAGGAACACCAGUGGCGAAGGCGGCUUUCUGGACGACAACUGACGCUGAGGCGCGAAAGCGUGGGGAGCAAACAGG
rnacentral:rRNA from 2 species